GAGGUGGCUGCCUGGGAUGUCCUCCUCCAGGACAUCGCCCUCUUACCUAUGGACGUGGCCGACUCUCCGGACGCCAUCUCCUGGCGCCUAGAUCCCUCCGGCUGCUUCUCCACUAAAUCCCUCUACGCGGCUAUUGCCCCCUCGUCAGCCCCGGAGCCCUUCGGUCUGAUCUGGGACAUCCGCCUCCCCCUAAAGAUUCGGAUCUUUCUUUGGCAAUGGAUCCGCGGCCGCCUCCCGACCGGCGUUGAGGUUCUUAAGCGCCAUGGUCCUGGCGAUGGAAUGUGCCCCCUGUGUGGCACGGUAGAGGACGCUAAUCACAUCUUCUUCUCUUGCUACACAGCACAGUUCCUUUGGUUUUGUUUCCGCGAAAUGGUUGGGGGACAGUGGUGCAACACCAACUUCCCUGACUUGCUUGCGGAAAUUCAAGCCUCCCCCCCUCGCUACAGACAUAUUAGAUGGCUGUGCGUCGGGGUUCUCGCCUGGACGCUGUGGACGGUUCGCAAUAAGCUUGUCAUUCAGAAGGUGCCCCUUCGGCGUGCUACUGACUCCAUCUUCAAAAUGUGUGGUUACUUGCAGCUCUGGCGGCCGCUUAGCCGCCCUCAGGACCGGGACGCCAUCAACAGACUCCUCACCGACCUCCGUUCGUUGGCCUUCCGCCUGGCGCCUCCGCUCCCGCCGCCACCCCCGUAG
rnacentral:rRNA from 1 species